ensembl:lncRNA
CUUCUUUAUCAUUGCACCGCCUGGGAGCCCAUGAAUAGCUGAAGUGGUAAACGGUUAAUAGUAAAACUUGAUUGUGUAAAAGACAGUUUUUGAACAAAGAGCUUGCAAAGCAAAACACAGAAUAAGGCUCAGGGUACGUUAUUAUAAAGCAGCUCGGGCAGUGAAAGGCAGUUGACUGUAUUCUUCUCCGUGAUUGAUUAUAUUAAUAAUGCUGGGAUUUUCUUAGGUGAUAGGGAAUGGUUCCCUACACCAAUUCUGGGAAACGGUUUCAGCUGUGCUUAUGAUUUCCAGAGGCAGAAGGAAGGAAUGACUCCAGUCAAGUUACUCUUGCAGAAUAAGCUACAUUAAAUUUUGUUUGUAUGGCUUAACUGUCACGAAACCAAACUCGAGUCUGUUUGUCUGAACGUAACAAAGCCAAUCUACUCACACCAGGUUGUGGUGAAGGAAAACGGAGCGUUUAUUGCAGGCACCAAGCAAGAAGUCCAGGACAAGCAGUGCUUAAAAGUCCUGAACUCCCCAAAGGCUUUUAGGGAAGGUUUUUAAAGACAGGGUGAGGGAGGGGGUCUUGCGAUGCACGAUCAGCACUCCGACAUUCUUCUGAUUGGUUGGUAGUGAGGUAAUCAGGAAUCAACAUCAUCAACCUGCUAAUUCUAACUGGCCUGGAGUCUGUGUGCUUGUGGGCAGCAGACAGUUAACUUCUUCCACCUGGUAGAGAUUUGGGGAACGUUCAAGGCUGGUCUUCGUUUGUUUUUUAUUUUAACAAACCCAUUUUCCUGAUGGGGAAAUUGAGAAGCAGAGAGAUUACAUGGUUCACCCAAGGCUUGUGGCUGCAAAUGGACCUCCAGUCAAGAGCCAGGCCCCCACGCUCGCACACAUACAUGCUCCAGACGUGGAGGAGGGCAUCGUCCGCCCAAGAUAAGAAAGGGAAAUACGGUAUCCAGGCCUUGCGAGAAGGCUCUCGUUGCCAAUGGUUGAAGCCCAGUUGCCCAUGAAGGGGCCAGAACCCGAUUGUGCCUUGGGGGCUGGGAGUCAGAGUCACAGCCCCACGCACAGUAGCAGGUUCUAGAACUGGCCCUCUGCAUAUGGCUGGAGACUGAAAGGGACUGUGCUUUUGUGAGACUGAAGCAAGCCGCUCCCCCAGUGGCUCUGGGCAGAGUCCUCCCGCAGAAAGUGGAACGGGCCCUCCACGUGGUACAGAAACGCCAAGUGGAGAAACAAGAUGGUUCACCAGAGGAGCCACCCGACUCGUGCUGCAGGCGCACGUGCGGCUCACGCAGGGCAUCUUUAGAGGUUUACUUCUGCUGACCAUGAACUCACGGUGAUGCCGAAGCCCAUGAGACCUGCCUCUCGUGCAACAGCAGGUGCAGCAAAUGGGCCGAUUCAUAUCUGAGAAGACAGGGAAGUCUGGCAUGCUGCGGUCCCUGGGGUCUCUGAGUUUGAAAUUA